GCCCAAGUGGCGGAAUGGUAGACGCAGGGGAUUCAAAAUCCCCCGGUAGUGAUACCGUGCCGGUUCGAGUCCGGCCUUGGGUACCA
rnacentral:tRNA from 13 species